CCUACGGGAGGCAGCAGUCGGGAAUUUUGGGCAAUGGGCGAAAGCCUGACCCAGCAACGCCGCGUGAAGGAUGAAAUCCCUCGGGAUGUAAACUUCGCAAGAACGGGAAGAAUAAGUUUGUGCUAAUACCACAAGCGAUGACGGUACUGUUUGUAAGCUCCGGCUAACUCCGUGCCAGCACCCGCGGUAAUAAG
rnacentral:rRNA from 1 species